UCGCUAAUAAUUGUCGCUGUGUUG
rnacentral:siRNA from 1 species